UGGGGAAUCUUGCGCAAUGGGCGAAAGCCUGACGCAGCCAUGCCGCGUGAAUGAUGAAGGUCUUAGGAUUGUAAAAUUCUUUCACCGGGGACGAUAAUGACGGUACCCGGAGAAGAAGCCCCGGCUAACUUCGUGCCAGCAGCCGCGGUAAUACGAAGGGGGCUAGCGUUGCUCGGAAUUACUGGGCGUAAAGGGAGCGUAGGCGGACAUUUAAGUCAGGGGUGAAAUCCCGGGGCUCAACCUCGGAAUUGCCUUUGAUACUGGGUGUCUUGAGUGUGAGAGAGGUAUGUGGAACUCCGAGUGUAGAGGUGAAAUUCGUAGAUAUUCGGAAGAACACCAGUGGCGAAGGCGACAUACUGGCUCAUUACUGACGCUGAGGCUCGAAAGCGUGGGGAGCAAACAGGAUUAGAUACCCUGGUAGUCCACGCCGUAAACGAUGAUUGCUAGUUGUCGGGAUGCAUGCAUUUCGGUGACGCAGCUAACGCAUUAAGCAAUCCGCCUGGGGAGUACGGUCGCAAGAUUAAAACCUUAAAGGAAUUGACGGGGGUCAUAGCUGUUUCCUG
rnacentral:rRNA from 1 species